ACGUAGGUGGCAAGCGUUGUCCGGAUUUAUUGGGCGUAAAGCGAGCGCAGGCGGUUCUUUAAGUCUGAUGUGAAAGCCCCCGGCUCAACCGGGGAGGGUCAUUGGAAACUGGAGAACUUGAGUGCAGAAGAGGAGAGUGGAAUUCCAUGUGUAGCGGUGAAAUGCGUAGAUAUAUGGAGGAACACCAGUGGCGAAGGCGACUCUCUGGUCUGUAACUGACGCUGAGGCUCGAAAGCGUGGGGAGCAAACAG
rnacentral:rRNA from 1 species